rnacentral:rRNA from 1 species
GGCGAGGGGAGUGAAAAAGAACCUGAAACCGUGUACGUACAAGCAGUGGGAGCACGCUUAGGCGUGUGACUGCGUACCUUUUGUAUAAUGGGUCAGCGACUUAUAUUCUGUAGCAAGGUUAACCGAAUAGGGGAGCCGAAGGGAAACCGAGUCUUAACUGGGCGUUAAGUUGCAGGGUAUAGACCCGAAACCCGGUGAUCUAGCCAUGGGCAGGUUGAAGGUUGGGUAACACUAACUGGAGGACCGAACCGACUAAUCUUGAAAAAUUAGCGGAUGACUUGUGGCUGGGGGUGAAAGGCCAAUCAAACCGGGAGAUAGCUGGUUCUCCCCGAAAGCUAUUUAGGUAGCGCCUCGUGAAUUCAUCUCCGGGGGUAGAGCACUGUUUCGGCAAGGGGGUCAUCCCGACUUACCAACCCGAUGCAAACUGCGAAUACCGGAGAAUGUUAUCACGGGAGACACACGGC